rnacentral:lncRNA from 1 species
AGGCCACCACUGGGACCCCGGGGCCACCACCGGGACCCCGGGGCCACCACUGGGACCCCGGGGCCACCACCAGGACCCCAAGACCUUGUCCCCAAGGCCACCAACCCCAUAACUGGGUUCCCAAGGCCACCAUCGCCAUGUCCCCAAGACCUUGUCCCCAGGGCCACCGUGUCCCCAAGGCCACCAGACCCCCAAAGCCUCAUCCCCACCACCAUGUCCCCAAGGCCACCAUCACCAUCCCCAUGUCCCCAAGCCCUUGUCCCCAUCACCACAUCCCCAAGCCUUUGUCCACAGGGCCACCGUGUCCCCAAGACCACCAUGCCCCCAAAUCCUCGUCCCCAAGGCCACCACGUCCCCACCACCAUGCCCCCAAGACCUUGUCCUCAAGCCCACCAUGUCCCCACCACGAAGUCCCCAAGGCCACCAUGUCCCCAAAUCCUCGUCCCCACCACCACGCCCCCAAGCCCUUGUCCCCAAGCCCACCACAUCCCCACCACGAUGUCCCCAAGCCCACCAUGCCCCCAACCCCCUGUCCCCAGGGCACCAACAUCGGCGCGGGCAAGGCGGUGGGCAUCGUGGUGGCCACGGGGGUGAACACGGAGAUCGGCAAGAUCCGCCAUCCCCGAAGGGCUGCCGGCCGUCAUCACCACCUGCCUGGCGCUGGGGACGCGGCGCAUGGCCAAGAAGAACGCCAUCGUGCGCAGCCUCCCCUCCGUCGAGACCCUGGGCUGCACCUCGGUCAUCUGCUCCGACAAAACCGGGACCCUCACCACCAACCAGAUGUCCGUCUGCAAGGUGGGGGGCACCGCGGGGCCUUUGGGGGCUCCCCGUGUCCCCU